AAUGACUAUUUUAAUGAAAAUUGUAAAUACGUAGCAGUUGCAUUGACAUAGCAUUCAAAAGGUGGAUAAGGACAGGCAGUAAAAAAUACACUUCCCCCGCUGCUGAAUCCCCAGACUGUUGUCGACCUAGUAGGAGCUCAAUAAACAUGUAUGAAAAGAAUAACAUUUUCCACGUGAAGGAAUUAAAGCUCAGAGAGGUUCGGGAACUUGCCCAACACUCCACAGCUCGCUAAAUCAACCACGUAAGGGUCUGUAAUUAAGGUUUGCAGUUGGGUUCCUCUAACUCCAGACCCCUCGGUCAACCCGCGGGGGGCGGGGGGCAGUGGUGGGAAGCAGGGUUGGGAGCAUAGGCAUGGUGGGGGUCAGAGACAAAGGCUCAGAGGCAGCAAAGUCCUGGCACCAUCCAGGGACAGAGAGGGGCUUGGCCAGAGCGGAGGGUUGUGUCAGGAAAUGGGGCGGAGCUCAAGGUGCCAUCAGAGCCUCGAAUGCCAGGCUGAGGAGUGGGCACUGCCCUGCCCGGCUCUAAAGGGCAGUGCUGGGAGCUGGGGCAGAGCCAGACACAGGAAAAGGGCAAAUGCAAUCUUUUUGGUGUCUGGAAAGCGGGAGGCCCGGGAGACGCCGGAAAGGCCGGUAUUUCGGAGCGGGGCGAAGGCAGGAGCUGCUGAGAAAUCAGCCAGACACAGACUCGAAGCCUCAGCUGGGGGAUGGUCGGAAAUGCAGGGUGGGGGUUGCCUGAAGAGGUGUUUUCCACCCACAAGCCCUCGGAGGCCAGCACGACGGUAUUUUCCCACACACUCUUCUGGAACCUUCCCACCGCCCCAUCACAGAGCAGAUUCUCAUUUCCCUCUCCUCGACUCGGGGCAGGCUGGUGACCCGCACUCGUCUUGAGCCCGAGCCACCCCUGUCGGCCGUUCGUGUGGGGCCGCUGUGUCGGGGGGAAGAAGCCCUCCCUGGGAGCCCUUCGUGAGUCCCGUCCCGAGGGAUCCCGGGACACGGGCACAAUCGGUGUUUCAAGUCACCGAGUCUGGGGUGGUGAGUUUGCACAAACAGAUCACGGGGUCGUCAGCCUGUCUCUCGAGGGAGGAAGAUGAGGCAAACUUGCCCAGGGCCGCACGGCACACGGACAGGAGAGUCUGAAUCCAAAGCCAGUCUGUGGACCUCCAGGCCCGGGCCCCACAGUGCAAACAUUUUCUCCACCCGCCCUCGCCCUUCAAGGCGAGUCGGUGGCGUUUCCGGGGCCGGGAAGAAAGCCACUGGAGGCCCUUUCCCGCGGGCACGGGAGGAACGGCCGGGCUCACGUCGGGGACCUGGCUCGGAAUCCGGACGUGCACCUGCUGCUGGGGGCCUGGGCCACCUGACCCUCAGCCCGGCUCUCUUGGCACAUGUGUGUCUCAUGGGGCCCAUCCCUGUGUCGGUGCCGUUUCCUGAGCUCCUGCUGAGUGUCGGGCUCCCGCCAGGACCUCGGGAGUCAAAGGUGAAUAGAGUUCCCUGCACAGGUGAGCCAUGCUGAUGGGCAGAGGCUCUGGAGCGUCACCGGGUCUCCCCCAGCAGAGCAGACUCCCUGCCCGUCUGGCUCACUGCCUCAGCCCCCUCGCCGGACGCGAAAAAGUAACAGCUGACACGUCCUGGGGGCUACGUGGGGGCUGCACUCUCUUCUGCGCCCUUGGUAUGUACCAAGUGAGCUGACGCUUCCUGCCCAUUUCACAGAGCAGCAGGACUGAGGCAGGGAGAAGCAAGCAACAUCGCCCAGGUGUCCCAGGCAGCAGGAGGCAGUCCUGACGGUCUGGUUCUGGAGCCUGUAGCGGGAGCCGCAAACAGCCAACGCUGGAGAAAUGCUUCCACGGUGAAUGGCCAGGCGGUUCCAGGCUCCGGGGGGGGGGGGGGGCGUGGAUGGGGCGCCGUGGGAGGCCAGCCUUCACCGCAUCCUGCCAGCUGAUGUUAGGUAGCGGUGAGGUAAGGCCCCUGGCACUAGCUAGCACUGAGUCACAUGGUGGGAAAGUCGGUCCCGUUUCAAUUAUUGGUCAGCCCUGAAUAAACGGAGACAGUCUCGGGCUAA